UACGUAGGUGGCAAGCGUUGUCCGGAUUUACUGGGCGUAAAGAGCGCGCAGGCGGUCGUUCAAGUCGCGUGUGAAAGCCCCCGGCUCAACCGGGGAGAGUCGUCGGGGACCGCACCGCUUGAGGGCGGUAGGGGCUGGUGGAAUGCCUGGUGUAGUGGUGAAAUGCGUAGAGAUCAGGCAGAACACCUGGGGCGAAGGCGGCCAGCUGGGCCGUCCCUGACGCUGAGGCGCGAAGGCGUGGGGAGCGAACGGG
rnacentral:rRNA from 1 species